rnacentral:lncRNA from 1 species
AUUGCGGCAUGAUGUUUCUUUAUCAUAUCUGCAAGGAGUAUCUAAAUUUUUUUGCAAAUAACUAAUUAGAUUAACCAAAAACACUUUAUUCCAUCUGUGUGAGUUUGUGAAAUCUGCACUAAGCCUUGAAUUUAAACAUGCCAUCCAAUCUUCAUUACAGUCUCAAGUUUAAUUCAAUGUUCCAAUAUUACAAUAGAUAUUUUAAAAUGUAAAAUGCAUCAAAUUCUGAUUGUUAUUCCAAUACUCAAUUCAUCCUUUUCAUUGCAAUAUACAAAUUUGUAAUACAUAUAUAAUUCGAUUGUUUGAUACCCCUUAAUUAAUAUUCUUUGUUCACUUGAUAAUAUUUGUUGGAACAAAGAUCAUUAGUAGAUCACAAACUUGUAAUCUCAACUACUAUUCCUUGCAUAUUUCAUAAAAUUUCUAUGCACCAAGGUUAUAAAUUAAGUAAAUAUUUGUAUAUAUAUAUAUAAAUAUAUAUUUGCAGACAUAUAUGAACUGAAAUUCAACUGUUCAUCCGCUUAAUAAGAUUUUUUCCGUUCGUCCACCAAAGUGAUGCUUUUCGAUGCGUCGAUGCUACAGCACUGUCUCCGUUGCUCGCACUUUCGCUUGUCACGAGGGAAAAGAGAAAAGGAGGAUUAUCUCAACCCUAAAACCUGAAUCUAACUAAGAAGGAGCAACUAAACACGGCGGUUGGCCAUGUCAACAAGCGAUAAACUCAACAAAUAAUCUCGUGUCUCUCAUCAGGGAAGGAAACACAAGUCUCUCCAUGCAGCUGGAGAGGGAAAGAAGAAGCAGAAGAAGAAGCAAAA